rnacentral:misc_RNA from 1 species
ACAGAGUGUACAGACCGCCUCCCAGAAGAAGUGCCCCACUCACAGGGUUUAUCCAGGCCGAGAAUUUCCGGAAAGAAAGCAAGCUCUGCAAUGCUCCAGCAAAGGAGGCUGCAAUCAGAAGUGGGGCGAUGUAGCCGGUUGUGUAAGUCAAAAGCAAGCUUCCUCCGACAAUCGGAUCCUUUGAUGCUGCCACAUAGGCCAGAAGCGUGGCAAGAACUGGU